UACGUAGGGUCCGAGCGUUGUCCGGAAUUACUGGGCGUAAAGAGCUCGUAGGUGGUUUGUCGCGUUGUUCGUGAAAACUCACAGCUCAACUGUGGGCGUGCGGGCGAUACGGGCAGACUGGAGUACUGCAGGGGAGACUGGAAUUCCUGGUGUAGCGGUGGAAUGCGCAGAUAUCAGGAGGAACACCGGCGGCGAAGGCGGUUCUCUGGGCAUGAUCUGACGCUGAGGAGCGAAAGUGUGGGGAGCGAACAGG
rnacentral:rRNA from 1 species